GACGAACGCUGGCGGCGUGCUUAACACAUGCAAGUCGAACGGAAAGGCCCUGCUUUUGUGGGGUGCUCGAGUGGCGAACGGGUGAGUAACACGUGAGUAACCUGCCCUUGACUUUGGGAUAACUUCAGGAAACUGGGGCUAAUACCGGAUAGGAGCGCCUGCUGCAUGGUGGGGGUUGGAAAGUUUCGGCGGUUGGGGAUGGACUCGCGGCGUAUCAGCUUGUUGGUGGGGUAGUGGCUUACCAAGGCUUUGACGGGUAGCCGGCCUGAGAAGGUGACCGGCCACAUUGGGACUGAGAUACGGCCCAGACUCCUACGGGAGGCAGCAGUGGGGAAUAUUGCACAAUGGGCGGAAGCCUGAUGCAGCAACGCCGCGUGCGGGAUGACGGCCUUCGGGUUGUAAACCGCUUUCGCCUGUGACGAAGCGUGAGUGACGGUAAUGGGUAAAGAAGCACCGGCUAACUACGUG
rnacentral:rRNA from 1 species